rnacentral:rRNA from 1 species
AGAAAUUUGGAUUAAUACCUCAUAGUAUUAUUAUUUGGCAUCAUAUAAUAAUUAAAACUCCGGUGGUUAUAGAUGAGCAUGCGUUCUAUUAGCUUGUUGGUGAGGUAAUGGCUCACCAAGGCUACGAUAGAUAGGGGGCCUGAAAGGGUGAUCCCCCACACUGGUACUGAGACACGGACCAGACUCCUACGGGAGGCAGCAGUGAGGAAUAUUGCACAAUGGAGGAAACUCUGAUGCAGCCAUGCCGCGUGCAGGAUGACAGCCCUACGGGUUGUAAACUGCUUUUUUACAAGAAGAAACUUUGGUACGUGUACCAAAUUGACGGUAUUGUAAGAAUAAGCACCGGCUAACUCCGUGCCAGCAGCCGCGGUAAUACGGAGGGUGCAAGCGUUAUCCGGAUUUAUUAGGUUUAAAGGGUUCGCAGGCGGAAUUUUAAGUCAGUGGUGAAAGCCUAUAGCUCAACUAUAGAACUGCCAUUGAUACUGAUAUUCUUGAGUAUAGAUGAAGUGGGCGGAAUAUGUCAUGUAGCGGUGAAAUGCAUAGAUAUGACAUGGAACACCAAUUGCGAAGGCAGCUCACUAAACUAUUACUGACGCUCAUGAACGAAAGCAUGGGGAGCGAACAGGAUUAGAUACCCUGGUAGUCCAUGCCGUAAACGAUGAUCACUAGAUGUUGGCGAUAUACUGUCAGUGUUUUAGAGAAAUCAAUAAGUGAUCCACCUGGGGAGUACGUUCGCAAGAAUGAAACUCAAAGGAAUUGACGGGGGCCCGCACAAGCGGUGGAGCAUGUGGUUUAAUUCGAUGAUACGCGAGGAACCUUACCAAGGCUUAAAUGUAAAGCGACCGAUUGAGAGAUCAAUCUUUUUCGAAC